rnacentral:rRNA from 1 species
AACGAACGCUGGCGGCGCGUCUUAAGCAUGCAAGUCGAACGGCAAGAGAGGAGCUUGCUUCUCUCCUAGAGUGGCGGACUGGUGAGGAACACGUGGGUAAUCUACCCUUAAGAUGGGGAUAGCUGCUAGAAAUAGCAGGUAAUACCGAAUACACUCGGCAUAGCACAAGAGAUGUUGAGGAAAGGAAGCUACGGCUUCGCUUGAGGAUGAGCUUGCGUCCCAUUAGCUAGUUGGUGAGGUAAAGGCCCACCAAGGCGACGAUGGGUAUCCGGCCUGAGAGGGUGAACGGACACAUUGGGACUGAGAUACGGCCCAAACUCCUACGGGAGGCAGCAGCUAAGAAUAUUCCGCAAUGGACGGAAGUCUGACGGAGCGACGCCGCGUGGAUGAAGAAGGCUGAAAAGUUGUAAAAUCCUUUUGUUGAUGAAGAAUAAGGGUGAGAGGGAAUGCUCAUCUGAUGACGGUAAUCGACGAAUAAGCCCCGGCUAAUUACGUGCCAGCAGCCGCGGUAACACGUAAGGGGCGAGCGUUGUUCGGAAUUAUUGGGCGUAAAGGGCAUGUAGGCGGCUAUGUAAGCCUGAUGUGAAAUCCUGGGGCUUAACCCUAGAAUAGCAUUGGGUACUGUAUAGCUUGAAUUACGGAAGGGAAACUGGAAUUCCAAGUGUAGGGGUGGAAUCUGUAGAUAUUUGGAAGAACACCGGUGGCGAAGGCGGGUUUCUGGCCGAUAAUUGACGCUGAGAUGCGAAAGUGUGGGGAUCGAACAGG